AUGACUCUCAUCACCAUCCUCAUCUGGACGCUGGCCUGCUGCUGCUUCACAGGAUGCAGUGGUCAGGUGACUGUGACUCAGCCUCCAGUAAAGACAUUUACUCCAGGAUCCACUCUCACUAUGACCUGUAAGACCAGCCAGGAUGUUUACACAUAUAGUGAUGGAGAUCAGGCUAUGUCCUGGUAUCAGCAGAAAUCUGGACAAACUCCAAAGCUCCUGAUAUAUUUAGUGAGCACACUUAAAUCAGGAACACCAGAUCGGUUUAGUGGCAGUGGAAGUGGUUCUGACUUCUCUUUGACCAUCAGUGGAGUUCAGACUGAAGAUGCAGCAGUUUACUACUGUCAGAGUUACCACAGCGGUGGUGUGUGGACUUUUGGUGGAGGAACCAAACUCAUCAUUCACUCUGGCUCCAUGGUCAGGCCCUCAGUGUCUCUGCUCUCCCCCACCUCUGAGCAGCUCUCUGGGGGCUCGGCCACGCUGGCCUGCCUGCUGAGCGGCUACUCUCCCCAGGGAGCCGUGGUGAGCUGGGAGGUGGACGGUAGGGAAGUGACAGAGGGGGUCCUGACCAGCUCAGAGGAGGAGAAGAGCGGACGCUACAGCAGCAGCAGCACCCUGAGACUGAGCCGGGAGCGCUGGAUGGAAGGAGAGCUGUACUCCUGCAAGGUCUCCCAUCAUGACCACCAACAGACCCAGUCCCUCCACAGGAGCCAGUGUAAGGGCUAGAGGUGCUGGAUGGAGCCCAGGACAGGAGCUCUGUGUGGGGGGGCAGCAGGAACACACCUGUUGUUCUCAUCUGAUAUGAGUUUUAAUGUUUGUAGAGGGAAAUAAAGCUUCGUGUGACAGACAACAACACUGCUGUAAAGUGUUGGAGGACGACAACAGCUUAGAGAGUCGUGUGUGUAGCUCAGCAGCUGGAUGUGAGUGUGAUUAAUAACUGUCAUGUUGAUGCUAAUAAAGCUUG